GUUUUACUCGGCGUUAAGUCAAGCGUAUCCGAAUACGAAUCGGUAAAUUCUUCAAAACACUUUGAGAGAAAUGUCUUCAAACAGUGAACAGUACGAAAGAUAAAAGUAAAUGAGUGAGUUCGAAAUUAUGGUCAUAUUAGAAGAGAAAUAUAUGUACAUUUAUUAAUUUCAUUUGACCAAGUAAAAUUCAACGAGCAAUAUUGAGAAUGAAAUGAAGUAGUGUAGUAGCAGUGUGUGGUGUACAAUGUAAAACUGACACUUCAAGAUCUAUAACCACCAUUUAUAUCCAAUGCCUGAUAACCCUCUUUUAUGGAUUUUUGGAAAAAAUUCAACGUGUAAAAAGGAGCAGCGUGCUGGCGAGCGAGGGGG
rnacentral:misc_RNA from 1 species